GACGAACGCUGGCGGCGUGCCUAAUACAUGCAAGUCGAGCGCAGGAAACUGACGGAACUCUUCGGAGGGAAGGCAGUGGAAUGAGCGGCGGACGGGUGAGUAACACGUAAGGAACCUGCCUCAAGGAUUGGGAUAACUCCGAGAAAUCGGAGCUAAUACCGGAUAGUUCAACGGACCGCAUGGUCCGCUGAUGAAAGGCGCUCCGGCGUCACCUUGAGAUGGCCUUGCGGUGCAUUAGCUAGUUGGUGGGGUAACGGCCCACCAAGGCGACGAGGCAUAGCCGACCUGAGAGGGUGAUCGGCCACACUGGGACUGAGACACGGCCCAGACUCCUACGGGAGGCAGCAGUAGGGAAUCUUCCACAAUGGACGAAAGUCUGAUGGAGCAACGCCGCGUGAGUGAUGAAGGUUUUCGGAUCGUAAAACUCUGUAGCCAGGGAAGAACGGCUUGGGGAGUAACUGCCCUUGGCAUGACGGUACCUGAGAAGAAAGCCCCGGCUAACUACGUGCCAGCCGCCGCGGUAAAAC
rnacentral:rRNA from 1 species